rnacentral:sRNA from 1 species
GGAAGAAUUUAUUUAGAUAUGCUUAAUGUAUACAAGUGCCUCAGUGAAAAUAUUUCUGCAGCUAUCCAAGCUAAUGGUGAAAUGGUUACAAAGCAACCAUUGAUUAGAAGUAUGCGAACUGUAAAAAGGGAAACUUUAAAGUUAAUAUCUGGUUGGGUGAGCCGAUCCAAUGAUCCACAGAUGGUCGCUGAAAAUUUUGUUCCCCCUCUGUUGGAUGCAGUUCUCAUUGAUUAUCAGAGAAAUGUCCCAGCUGCUAGAGAACCAGAAGUGCUUAGUACUAUGGCCAUAAUUGUCAACAAGUUAGGGGGACAUAUAACAGCUGAAAUACCUCAAAUAUUUGAUGCUGUUUUUGAAUGCACAUUGAAUAUGAUAAAUAAGGUGUGUAAUAUUUCAGUUAUGUAAGGGGGAAAUUCUGCAGGAUAGCCUUAAUUCUUGAAAGCUAAAGUAUGUCUGUGGAUAUAACAUAAUUUUAAUGCCCUGGAGUUUAAAUAUUUAAACUUGUAUAUUAGGGAAAUACUUUCUUGGUUUUCAAGAACUUACUUCCCAGGAGUUUGAAACCAACCUGGGCAAUAUAGUGAGACUUCAUCUCUACAAAAAGUUCAAAAAGUAACCAGUCAUGGUGGCAUGCGCCGGUAGUCCCAACUACUCGAAAGGCUGAAGUGGGGGGGUCACUUGAGCCUGGGAGUUCAAGGUGGCAGUGAGCUGAGAUUGCGCCACUGCACUCCAAGAAGAAGAAUUUACUACACAGAAUCUUGAUUGGUAAAAAGUAAAUAUGGAAAACAGAUUUUAGCAUUCACAUGGUAUGUAGCAUUUAUUGAAACCUCAUAGGUCGGGGCAUCCUUUUAUGAACGUAGUUGUAUUAAUUGGUUUGAAUAAAUGAGAAAGUAAGUCUGCAUGUUUCAAUUAUAAAAGUGUAGUAUAUGCUUAUAAGAAACUGAAAAAUGUGUUAACAAGAGAAAAUAGGCUGGGCGUGGUGGCUUACACCUGUAAUCCCAGCACUUCAGAAGGCCAAGGCGGGCGGAUGACCUGAGGUCGGGAGUUCAAGACCAGCCUGCCUAACGUGGCAAAACCCCAUCUCUAUUAAAAAUACAAAAAUGGCCAGGCGUGGUGGCUCAACGCCUGUAAUCCCAACACUUUGAGAGGCCGAGGCCGGUGGAUCACCUGAGGUCAGGAUUUCAAGACCAGCCUGACCAACAUGGUGAAACCCCAUCUCUACUCAAAAACAAAAAUUAGGCUGGGUGCCAUGGCUCACGCUUGUAAUCCCAGCACUUUGGGAGGCCGAGGUGGGCAGAUCACGAGGUCAGGAGAUGGAGACCAUGGUGAAACCCUGUCUCUACUAAAAAUACAAAAAAUUAUCCGGGUGUGGUGGUGGGCGCCUGUAGUCCCAGCUACUCGGAGAGGCUGAGGCAGGAGAAUGGCGUGAACCCGGGAGGCGGAGCUUGCAGUGAGCCAGGAUCACGCCACGCACUCCAGCCUGCGUGACAGAGCAAGACUCUGUCUUAAAAAAAAAAAAAAUUAGCUGGGCAUGGUGCCACAUGCCUGUAGUCCCAGCUACUCGGGAGGCUGAGGCAGGAGAAUCGCUUGAACCCAGGAGGCGGAGGUUGCAGUCAGCCGAGAUUGUGCCACUGCACUCCAGCCUGGGUGACAGAGUGAGACUGUUUAAAAAAAAAAAAGAAAAAAGAGAUAAAAGAUAUGUUAAGUGGACACAUUUACACGGUAACUUAAAUUUUUUUGUAAUCUGUAGUGGUGGUUUCAAAUUAAAAACAAAAGUGAUAGUAGUAGUCUUAUGGUAAUAAUGGUUUUGAUGAGUUCUCUAUUAAAAAGGUUGUCUUUCUCCUUCAAUUUGAUAACUCAUGUGUGUAACGGGACAGUUUCAUUUUCCGUGAGAGGUGGAUUGUAUUUUACUUGGGUUUACCUUUCAGGAGGCAUUCUAUCUUCUGUGGUUUAUUGAAAACUCCAAAUAUUUAUACUGGAUUAAGCCUUGCUUUUCCCCUCCUGUCUAGCACAACAAAGACACUGAAACAUUAUUUUGUUUCCACCACUUAUUUUUAGGACUUUGAAGAAUAUCCUGAACACAGAACGAACUUUUUCUUACUACUUCAGGCUGUCAAUUCUCAUUGUUUCCCAGCAUUCCUUGCUAUUCCACCUACACAGUUUAAACUUGUUUUGGAUUCCAUCAUUUGGGCCUUCAAACAUACUAUGAGGAAUGUCGCAGAUACGGGCUUACAGAUACUUUUUACACUCUUACAAAAUGUUGCACAAGAAGAAGCUGCAGCUCAGAGUUUUUAUCAAACUUAUUUUUGUGAUAUUCUCCAGCAUAUCUUUUCUGUUGUGACAGACACUUCACAUACUGCUGGUAAGAAUUUAAUACGAUUUAAAUGUUAAGUGCCAGCCGGGCACAGGGACUCACGCCUAUAAUCCCAGCACUUUGGGAGGUCGAGGCGGGGAGAUUAUGAGGUCAGGAGUUCGAGAACAGCCUGGCCACCAUGGUGAAACUGUCUGUACUAAAAAUACCAUAAAAAAAUAAAAGAUACAAUAAAAAUACCAGGCAUGGUGGCAUGUGAUUGCAAUCCCACCUACUCGGGAGGCUGAGGCAGGAGAAUGGCUUGGACCCAGGAGGCAGAGGUUGCAGUGAACUAAGAUCGCGCCACGGCAUUCCAGCUUGGGUGACAGAGCGAGACUCCGUCU